rnacentral:rRNA from 1 species
GAUGAACGCUGGCGGCGUGCCUAAUACAUGCAAGUCGAACGAGAACGGAGCAAUCUUCGGAUAGCUCUUAGUAAAGUGGCGAACGGGUGAGUAACACGUAGCUGACCUGCCCUCAGGACGGGAAUAACGCAUCGAAAGGUGUGCUAAAACCCGAUAAGCUCACAGGAGCUAGACAUCAGUGAGAAAAUAUUCAGGUGCCUGAGGAGGGGGCUGCGGUCCAUCAGCUAGUUGGUAGGGUAAAGGCCUACCAAGGCAAAGACGGAUAGGGGGCCUGAGAGGGUGGUCCCCCACAUGGGAACUGAGACACGGUCCCAACUCCUACGGGAGGCAGCAGUAAGGAAUAUUGCGCAAUGGGCGAAAGCCUGACGCAGCAACGCCGCGUGCAUGAAGAAGGCCUUCGGGUCGUAAAAUGCUUUUCUGGUCGAAGAGGAAGGACAGUAGGCCAGGAAUAAGUGUCGGCUAACUACGUGCCAGCAGCCGCGGUAAAACGUAGGACGCAAGCGUUAUCCGGAUUUACUGGGCGUAAAGCGCAGGCAGGCGGACAGGCAAGUUGGCUGUGAAAGCGCCCGGCUCAACUGGGCGAGGCCAGCCAAAACUGC